rnacentral:rRNA from 1 species
UCGAAACCUGCUCAGCAGAACGACCAGCGAACGUGUUCAUUCAACGAGGGGUCCAAGGCGGGCUUUUGCUUGUGUUGGCCCUUCAAAUGGCUUCUACUGAGGGAUCAGGGUGGGUAGGCUCGCUCUUUCCCCUCGACGUCCCUCGAUGGCGGCCAGCUAACAAACCCCCGGCGCGGAAUGCGCCAAGGAAUUGCAAAUGAAAAGAUCGGCCACCCGCGUUGCCCCGGAAACGGUGUGUAAUAAGGGUUGUGUCGUGACUUGAGAAUCUGAACGACUCUCGGCAACGGAUAUCUCGGCUCUCGCAUCGAUGAAGAACGCAGCGAAAUGCGAUACUUGGUGUGAAUUGCAGGAUCCCGCGAACCAUCGAGUUUUUGAACGCAAGUUGCGCCCGAAGCCUUCUGGCCGAGGGCACGUCUGCCUGGGUGUCACUCAACCGUCGCCCCAACCUCCUCCUCCUUCUGGAAGGAGUGUGAACCGGGCGGAAGAUGGCCUCCCGUUUGCUUCUUGCACGCGGCUGGCCCAAAUGUCCGGUCCUCGGCAUCGUCGCCACGGCAAUCGGUGGUUGCAUGACCCUCGCUUAAUGCCGUGAGUGAUUUGUUGCCGGUGUGAUCCGUUAGGCCCCUGAGUGUUUCGGAAGACACGCUCGCAACGCGACC